UCCAGACUCCUACGGGAGGCAGCAGUGGGGAAUAUUGGACAAUGGGGGGAACCCUGAUCCAGCGACGCCGCGUGAGUGAAGAAGUAUUUCGGUAUGUAAAGCUCUAUCAGCAGGGAAGAAAGAAAUGACGGUACCUGACUAAGAAGCCCCGGCUAACUACGUGCCAGCAGCCGCGGUAAUACGUAGGGGGCAAGCGUUAUCCGGAUUUACUGGGUGUAAAGGGAGCGUAGACGGCGAUGCAAGUCUGAAGUGAAAGCCCCGGGCUCAACCUGGGAACUGCUUUGGAAACUGUUAAACUAGAGUGCUGGAGAGGCAGGCGGAAUUCCUAGUGUAGCGGUGAAAUGCGUAGAUAUUAGGAGGAACACCAGUGGCGAAGGCGGCCUGCUGGACUGCGACUGACGUUGAGGCCCGAAAGCGUGGGGAGCAAACAGGAUUAGAUACCCGCGUA
rnacentral:rRNA from 1 species